UGGAAGUAAAAGUCGUAACAAGGUUCCGUAGGUGAACCUGCGGAAGGAUCAUUAAUAAAUGGCUCCUGAUUUGGAGCGCUUAAUAAUCCUACCCUUUGUGAAUUUGUUGUAUGAAAUAAUUUUUUUAAAAUUAUUGAUUGUCUUUCCCUGUUGAAUUGGAGCGUUUUCGGACGCAAAAUUCGCAGGGAUAGUCAGUAAUUUUAAAAAGACCUUUUUUAAAAUUAAACUUUUUGUAUUCAUUUGUCUAAAAUUAUUUUUAUAAUAUAAAAACAACUUUUGACAAUGGAUCUCUUGGUUCUCGCAACGAUGAAGAACGCAGCAAAUGCGAUAAGUAGUGUGAAUUGCAGAAUACGUGAAUCAUCGAAUCUUCGAACGCAUAUUGCACUUUUUAGUUUACUAAAAAAGUAUGUCUGUUUGAGUAUCAGUAAAAUAUUCUCAUAAAAACUAUUGUUUUUAUGGUUAUGAGUGUUUUACAACGAUACAAGUUGUUUCACUUUAAAUUUUUUUAAAAUAGAUUUUUUCUAAUUUUAAAAUAAAAUUGGAUAAAAUUUUCCCGUAAAAAGAAUAACCUAAACAAUUUUAAUUUUUAUUAGAAAAAUCAUUUAAAGGAAAAAUUUAACAAAAUAACUUGAUCUCAAAUCAGAUAAGAGUACCCGCUGAACUUAAGCAUAUCAUAAGCGGAGGAAAAGAAACUAACAAGGAUUUCCUUAGUAACGGCGAGUGAACGGGAAGAGCUCAAAUUUGAAAUCUUCAAGGUUUUACCUUGACGAAUUGUAGUUUAAAGAAGUGUUUUCUGUUGAAGUUUUGGUAAAAGUUCUUUGGAAUAGGACAUCAUAGAGGGUGAGAAUCCCGUAUUUGACCAUUAUUUCAGCUGUGUGAUACACUUUCAAAGAGUCGGAUUGUUGGGAAUGCAGUCCAAAAUGGGUGGUAAAUUUCAUCUAAAGCUAAAUAUUGGCGAGAGACCGAUAGCGAACAAGUACCGUGAGGGAAAGAUGAAAGAACUUUGAAAAGAGAGUUAAACAGUACGUGAAAUUGUCAAAAGGGAAGCGUUUGACACCAGUGUUGUUUUCUCGAAAAUCAAUUAAAAAUGGCUGAUUUUGUGUUGUAUUGACCUUAACAGCUUUCUUCACUCUUUUCCUGUCUUUUUUAAUGCACUUUUCGUUUAACAAGUCAACAUCAGUUUCUUUGUUGUAAAAGGGUCAUUGGAAGGUGGCUUUCUUUUCGGAGAAAGUGUUUGUAGCCUUUGAUCUCUGCAAUCGGAGAGACUGAGGUCUGCAGCGUAGACUCUUCGGGUUAGAUACAUUUGUGCUAAGUUAUAGCUUUCUAUAGACAACUUGUUGACUAUAUUUAGUCUUGUAGCUUACUCGCUUAUGCUAUUUUACCUACGCUU
rnacentral:misc_RNA from 1 species